rnacentral:lncRNA from 1 species
CAAAGUGCGGAUCGAGCGAGCCAUGGCGGCUGAGAUCAGCACAGUGCAGCGCACCCAUGCGUGCAUGGCUGGUGGCUCCCGUGCGCCCGCGUGACGAAGCAAGCACAUACACCCCUCUCGUCUCGUCUCGUCGUCCCCACCGGGCCACCACCAUCGCCGCAGGCAGAGCCUUUUUCACCGCCGCCCACGUACGGAUGUCCCCCUCCCUCGCUUUAGGCUGAGCUCGCCGGCCGGCGGCAAGACGCCAUUGUUUUUCUCUGCCUGACUCGGAGUGUCCGUGACGUUUUCACCGUGAGGACGAAGGCAGUGACCGGCGAGGGGGACGGGAGCCCCCACGUAGGGUACGGCCACGCCUGGCCGAAAAGCGCCAAAGAUUCCCCGCGGCCGUCGCGUCGCCAUCGCCAUCACCCGCUCCAUCGCGUCUCCCUCAGAUCUCGUCGCACUGUCGCUGUCGGAUUCCUCCUAUCCCAUGCGCCGGCCAUUGCCGCCGCGCCGUUAAAAAAAAAAGGUUUUCUUACUGCCUUCGCCGCCCGCGGCUCGAGCUGCUUCU